GCUCCAGUGGCCUAGUGGUUAGAGUGUCCGCCUCGGAUGAGGGAUGUCCUGGGUUCGAUCCCCAGUCGAGUCA